AAUUCGAUGCAACGCGAAGAACCUUACCUGGUCUUGAUAUCCCGGAGACCCUUAGGAAACUAGGGGUGCUUCCAUCUGGAAGAAUCUGGAGACAGGUGCUGCAUGGCUGUCGUCAGCUCGUGUCGUGAGAUGUUGGGUUAAGUCCCGCAACGAGCGCAACCCUUGCCUUUAGUUGCCAGCAGUUCGGCUGGGCACUCUAAAGGGACUGCCGGUGUUAAACCGGAGGAAGGUGGGGAUGACGUCAGGUCCUCAUGGCCUUUAUGACCAGGGCUACACACGUACUACAAUGGCCGAUACAAAGGGCAGCGACACUGCGAGGUGAAGCCAAUCCCGUAAAAUCGGUCUCAGUCCGGAUUGGAGUCUGCAACUCGACUCCAUGAAGUUGGAAUCGCUAGUAAUCGUGAAUCAGAAUGUCACGGUGAAUACGUUCCCGGGCCUU
rnacentral:rRNA from 1 species